CCACAUUGGGACUGAGAUACGGCCCAGACUCCUACGGGAGGCAGCAGUGGGGAAUUUUGCGCAAUGGGGGCAACCCUGACGCAGCAACGCCGCGUGCGGGACGAAGGCGUCCGCGUCGUAAACCGCUUUCAGCGGGGAACACUUAAACGAGGGUACCCGCAGAAGAAGCCCCGGCUAAAUACGUGCCAGCAGCCGCGGUAAUACGUAUGGGGCGAGCGUUAUCCGGAUUCAUUGGGCGUAAAGCGCGCGUAGGCGGAGCGCUAAGCGGGACCUCUAACCCGAGGGCUCAACCCCCGGCCGGGUCCCGAACUGGCGCUCUCGAGUGCGGUAGGGGAGAGCGGAAUUCCCGGUGUAGCGGUGGAAUGCGCAGAUAUCGGGAAGAACACCGACGGCGAAGGCAGCUCUCUGGGCCGAAACUGACGCUGAGGCGCGAAAGCUGGGGGAGCGAACAGGAUUAGAUACCCUGGUAGUCCCAGCCGUAAACGAUGGACGCUAGGUGUGGGGGGACGAUCCCCCCGUGCCGCAGCCAACGCAUUAAGCGUCCCGCCUGGGGAGUACGGCCGCAAGGCUAAAACUCAAAGGAAUUGACGGGGGCCCGCACAAGCAGCGGAGCAUGUGGCUUAAUUCGAAGCAACGCGAAGAACCUUACCAGGGCUUGACAUAUGGGUGAAGCGGGGGAGACCCCGUGGCCGAGAGGAGCCCAUACAGGUGGUGCAUGGCUGUCGUCAGCUCGUGUCGUGAGAUGUUGGGUUAAGUCCCGCAACGAGCGCAACCCCCGCCGCGUGUUGCCAUCGGGUGAUGCCGGGAACCCACGCGGGACCGCCGCCGUCAAGGCGGAGGAGGGCGGGGACGACGUCAAGUCAUCAUGCCCCUUAUGCCCUGGGCUGCACACGUGCUACAAUGGCCGGUACAGAGGGAUGCCACCCCGCGAGGGGGAGCGGAUCCCGGAAAGCCGGCCCCAGUUCGGAUUGGGGGCUGCAACCCGCCCCCAUGAAGUCGGAGUUGCUAGUAAUCGCGGAUCAGCAUGCCGCGGUGAAUGCGUUCCCGGGCCUUGUACACACCGCCCGUCACACCACCCGAGUCGUCUGCACCCGAAGUCGCCGGCCCAACCGCGAGGGGGGAGGCGCCGAAGGUGUGGAGGGUGAGGGGGGUGAAGUCGUAACAAGGUAGCCGUACCGGAAGGUGCGGCUG
rnacentral:rRNA from 1 species